UACGUAGGGGGCAAGCGUUGUCCGGAUUCAUUGGGCGUAAAGAGCGUGUAGGCGGCCAGGUAGGUCGGUUGUGAAAACUGGGAGGCUCCAACCUUCAGAGGUUCGGACCGAAACCAUCUGGCUAGAGUCCGGGAGAGGAGAGUGGGAAUUCCUGGUGUAGCGGUGAAAUGCGCAGAUAUCAGGAAGAACACCCGUGGCGAAAGCGGCUCUCUGGAACGGUACUGACGCUGAGACGCGAAAGCGUGGGGGAGCGAACAGG
rnacentral:rRNA from 1 species